rnacentral:rRNA from 1 species
UCGAGCGAACAGACGAGGAGCUUGCUCCUCUGACGUUAGCGGCGGACGGGUGAGUAACACGUGGAUAACCUACCUAUAAGACUGGGAUAACUUCGGGAAACCGGAGCUAAUACCGGAUAAUAUAUUGAACCGCAUGGUUCAAUAGUGAAAGACGGUUUUGCUGUCACUUAUAGAUGGAUCCGCGCCGCAUUAGCUAGUUGGUAAGGUAACGGCUUACCAAGGCAACGAUGCGUAGCCGACCUGAGAGGGUGAUCGGCCACACUGGAACUGAGACACGGUCCAGACUCCUACGGGAGGCAGCAGUAGGGAAUCUUCCGCAAUGGGCGAAAGCCUGACGGAGCAACGCCGCGUGAGUGAUGAAGGUCUUCGGAUCGUAAAACUCUGUUAUUAGGGAAGAACAAAUGUGUAAGUAACUAUGCACGUCUUGACGGUACCUAAUCAGAAAGCCACGGCUAACUACGUGCCAGCAGCCGCGGUAAUACGUAGGUGGCAAGCGUUAUCCGGAAUUAUUGGGCGUAAAGCGCGCGUAGGCGGUUUUUUAAGUCUGAUGUGAAAGCCCACGGCUCAACCGUGGAGGGUCAUUGGAAACUGGAAAACUUGAGUGCAGAAGAGGAAAGUGGAAUUCCAUGUGUAGCGGUGAAAUGCGCAGAGAUAUGGAGGAACACCAGUGGCGAAGGCGACUUUCUGGUCUGUAACUGACGCUGAUGUGCGAAAGCGUGGGGAUCAAACAGGAUUAGAUACCCUGGUAGUCCACGCCGUAAACGAUGAGUGCUAAGUGUUAGGGGGUUUCCGCCCCUUUAGUGCUGCAGCUAACGCAUUAAGCACUCCGCCUGGCGAGUACGACCGCAAGGUUGAAACUCAAAGGAAUUGACGGGGGACCCGCACAAGCGGUGGAGCAUGUGGUUUAAUUCGAAGCAACGCGAAGAACCUUUACCAAAUCUUGACAUCCUCUGACCCCUCUAGAGAUAGAGUUUUCCCCUUCGGGGGGACAGAGUGACAGUUGGUGCAUGGUUGUCGUCAGCCUCGUGUCGUGAGAAUGUGGGCUAAGUCCCGCAAUCGAGC